AAUUAAUGCUGCAUUAUGACAAGGCAUCCAGUCAAGUCAGAACCUUCAUUCAACAACUGAUGGAAGCAGAGGCAGAGAUCUACAGCGGAGCAGUGGGCUGACCUCCUGGAGUGCAGUCAUAGAGAAGGAGGAGCGAUGUUAUGAACAAAAGGACCAAGACCAUGAUGGGGAAACCCACAGAAACAACUGACCUGAACAAGUGAAACUGAGUGGCGCCAUCUGGGCCAACAGCUAUAGCAAUCGUACUUAAUCUCCAUCAGUGACAGAUGGCUAAGAUAACGCUGACCCAGAUGACGGCUCAGGCUGCACUGCCUCGGAAUUCUGGUUUGAGGCAACAGACAUGCAGAUACGACGAUGGCUUUUCCAAACGUAACAGGAAGUGUCUGUACAAAAACCCAACAAGCAGAACCAUCUAGUGGAGAGAGCCUAGAUCUUGGGGUCAGAAAGGCCUGAAGUCAAAUUGCCACUUGACCACUAGCUGCCAUUAUAAACUCUAAUUGAGCAUGCACAAGUCCUACACUCCAGG